rnacentral:rRNA from 1 species
AGGACGAACGCUGGCGGCGUGCUUAACACAUGCAAGUCGAACGCUGAUCCUUGUGCUUGCACUUGGUGAGGAGUGGCGAACGGGUGAGUAACACGUGAGUAACCUGCCCUUCACUUCGGGAUAACUCCGGGAAACCGGGCUAAUACUGGAUAUGACCUGGUGCCGCAUGGUGUUGGGUGGAAAGUUUUUCGGUGAGGGAUGGACUCGCGGCCUAUCAGCUUGUUGGUGAGGUAAUGGCUUACCAAGGCGACG